rnacentral:rRNA from 1 species
UACGUAGGGGGCUAGCGUUGCUCGGAAUCACUGGGCGUAAAGGGUGCGUAGGCGGGUCUUAAGUCAGGGGUGAAAUCCUGGAGCUCAACUCCAGAACUGCCUUUGAUACUGAAGAUCUUGAGUUCGGGAGAGGUGAGUGGAACUGCGAGUGUAGAGGUGAAAUUCGUAGAUAUUCGCAAGAACACCAGUGGCGAAGGCGGCUCACUGGCCCGAUACUGACGCUGAGGCACGAAAGCGUGGGGAGCAAACAGG